AUUGCACGCUGGCGGCAGGCCUAACACAUGCAAGUCGAACGAGUGGCGGACGGGUGAGUAAUGUCUGGGAAACUGCCUGCUGGAGGGGGAUAACUACUGGAAACGGUAGCUACUACCGCAUACCAUCAGAUGUGCCCAUAUGGGAUUCGCUAGUUGGUGGGGUAACGGCUCCCCAAGGCGACGAUCCCUGUCUGGUCGGCGAGGAUGACCAGCCACACUGGAACUGAGACACGGUCCAGAUUCCUACGGGAUGCAGCAGUGGGGAAUAUUGCACAAUGGGAGCAAGCCUGAUGCAGCCAUGCCGCGUGUAUGAAGAAGGCCUUCGGGUUGUAAAGUACUUUCAGCGGGGAGGCGUUACCCGCAGAAGAAGCACCGGCUAACUCCGUGCCAGCAGCCGCGGUAAUUC
rnacentral:rRNA from 1 species